rnacentral:lncRNA from 1 species
UUCAGUUUGCCCUAACUCACCUUGAUGGCAGGCAGCUCUUAAUUAAAUCAAACCCUGGCGAGGUCGUUAAGCCUGGUAAAAUCCCUGUGCAUAUUUAGUUAUAUUUCAGAACCACCUUUCAAGUUGACAUCAUAUUCACUCCACUUUCUCUCCCCUUGCUUGAAAAUUUAGGUCAAUACAAGGCUAUCAAUGAUGAGGGUAUGCCCCACCAUCAGAGACCUUUCAUGAAGGGCAAGCUAGUCAUCCAGUUCCAUGUUAUUUUCCCAGAAUCUGGGGUAUUUUCACCUGAGCAAUGCCGGAAGAUUGAGAGUGUAUUGCCCAUGAGGCCUAGUAAGCAUUUGACAGACAUGGAGCUUGA